GUCCAGGGUAGCCUAGUGGUCAUGGCAUCUGCCCGGUAAGCGGAAGGUCGUGGGUUCGAUUCCCAUCCCCUUGACA
rnacentral:tRNA from 1 species